AGAGUGACAACAACAGAGGAAAGCAUUGCUAAUAAGGCCGGGCGAUAAACUCAUUCCAACAUUUAAUCAAAUACUUGGUUUUUGAAGAUUACAUUUUUUAAUUUUCUUUUUCUUUACAAAAAAAUUAUUUGGGUUUUCAUAGUUCAUGAUGAGCCAGCUCUACAACUGAAUAUUAGGGCCAGGCUAUGAUGUUUUUUAAACUGUGAGAAUAAAGUCAUAAUACUACCAGAAUAAAGUUGGGAAUAAAAUGGUAAUUUUUUGAGAACUCCAACACAGAAAAAUGUAAAUUAAAACGAGGAAUGCACAGCAUCUUGUGAAGUAAUACUUUACUCUUUUAACACAUCAGCAUGAAAUUAUUGUUCAUAGCAUGACUGAAAUUAUUGUGAAAAUUACUGAGAAGAGAAAUCUACACAACCUGGUCAUGUCAGAUCCUGAUUAAGCAUUUUCACAUUAAAAUAAUUUUUUUCUUGUUAUUUUAAGACAUAUUUUCAAGUAAAUUUGUGUCUUUUUCUGCUAAUAUUCUGACCUUAUGUAGCAGUGUUUAGGUUGUAGAAUCCCACUUGCUUUAUGUAUCAGUGCAAUGGGGAAAUAGCGCCCCCUCUCCGUGUGGCUGGUUAUAUACUGCUGGCUCCUGUACACAGUGCCAGUCUGUGAAAGCUGCACAAGAGUCGAGGGGUCACUUGGGCCGGCCUGGUACAUUGGAGUGAAGCAGAACCCGGUUACACUUAUUCUCGUGAAUAAACAAAACUGUUCAUAGCCUGGCCCACAUAAUUCAUUGUACAACUCACUGAAGGGAUGACUGAAACAAAAGCCACUUUUUGAAAAUAUUUUCCUGUAAUUUCUUUUGCAGAAAAGUGCAACGGCGUAUUAGGGCCAUGCAUGAAAAUAAAAACCACAAUUAUGAGAUGAAAGUCCUAAAAUUACAAAAAUAAAAUCAUAUUACGAGAAUAAAGUCCUAAAACUAUAAGAGUAAAUUCAUAAGGUUACGAGAAUAAAGUUGUAUGAGUAUACAGUCAAAAUAAUAUGAGAAUAUAGUCAUAAUAUUACAACUUUAUUCUCAUAAUAGUAUGACUUUAUUUCCAUAAUAUUACGAAUUUUUUCUUGUAUGACUUAAUUCUUAUAUUUUCUUUUUCUUUUCUUUCUUUUUUUUUUUUGUAAUGGACCGAAUCCUCUGUUGUAGAAAA